rnacentral:lncRNA from 1 species
UUUUCUUGUAUCAUGUGUAUCGCUGUGUUACUUCGUUAUCUUCGCAGCUGUUGGACCAUUUUAUUUAUUAUCAAGGGAAAUUUGAAUUCAGUAAAUCUUUUAUGGGUUUUAUCAUUAAAGUUAUAUAUAUAAAUAGACCUGACAAACGUGUCGUGUCGUGUAGAGUUCGUGUCGUGUCAAGACAUUAAACGGGUUGAGAGUGCUUAACCCUAACCCAACCCGUUUAAUUAUCGUAUCGUAUCAUGUCAACACGUUUAUUUUCGUGUCGGGUUUCAGGUUAAAGUUUAAAUCUUAUACAUAUGUUGUGGCAUGCCGGAUUUAAACAUUUUAAAGAUUGAAAAAUAUGAGUCAUUGAGGAAAAAAUGAAAAAGUGAAAUGCUGGAGUUGGGAGAUGGGAGGUGGAACGGAAAAAAAAAAUUAUACUCCCUCUGUCCCAUAUUUAUUGUUCAUGUUUUGACUUUUGAAGUUUUAUUUAUUUAUUUUGACCUUAAAUAUUUUUAUUUAUAUUAUAAAUUACUUGAUAAAACUUAUAACAAUCAAAAGACAUUUAAAACACAAUUCAUUCAUAUAUUUUGCAUUAAGUAUUAUAUGUCAAAAACAAAAAUAUUUAAGGUCAAAUUUGAAGAAUAAAGACUUCAAAAGUCAAAAUUGGACAAUAAGUAUGAGACGGAUGUAGCAGUAAGUUUAGAAAGCAAAAUGGAAAUAGUUAGAGUUAGGAAGCAAAUGAGAUAGGUAGUGAGGAUGAGUAAAAUUAAGUNAAGAAAAGAAGAAGUUUUGCAUGUUCUUGAGGAGAGAGGAGGGAGUUUUCGGUUGGAUUCUUGAGAGCAAAGUGUGUGUUUUCGGCUAGAAAUGUAAGAAUGAGGGAAAAUUUUGGACUUCUUAUAAAUAUAUAUAUAUAUAUAUAUAUAUAUAUAUAUAUAUAUAAACGGGUCAUCUUCGAGUUGAAAGUUUUGACCCUAACCCUUACCCGUUUCAUUAUCGUGUCGUGUCAACCCGUGUACAUAAACGGGUCGAAAUCUCUGACCCUAACCCUAACCCGCUAACUUCGUAUCGGGUUGUCGUGUCGUGCCAGAUUUUACCAGGUCUAUAGUAUAUAAUAUAAUGUGUUCAAAAUGUAUCACUAUAAGAACUUAAGAUGGCUUCAAAGACUUAUUCCGCAACUCAGUGGCGGAACAUAGAAGAGGCUGGGCCCCCUUUUUUUUUUUCAAUUAAAUAGCAAUAUCUAUAGAAUUAGUGAUUAUAUAAGCUAAUUAUUUAAAAGAUUGUAACACCGGCUCCUCAUGUUUUUUUUAUUGAAUAUCAGUAAUUAAGCUUAAGUUGUUCAGAAAAUUAGGAAACUUAUCCAAGCAAAACUAAAAAGUAGGAAAUUUAUAAAGUAACCAUAUAAAAAGUAGGAAACUUACAAAAUAACCAUAUAAAAAUACCAUGAAAUUAAUUAUUAACUUACAUAUUCAAAUGAACGAACCCUAAAAAUACUAUCGGCUCUGCUUGUUUUUGUGCAACUCACUGGAAUUAUGCAUUGAGACCAGAAGAGAAUAUGACAUGUAGCUUUUCCUUGAUUUGAAAGUGUAAAUCUUCCGCAAUCUUCCAAGUUACAACUCAUCGGAUUUCUUACUCUCUCUUUUUUGGAUUCAAUCGACCGUUCUCCGCCGAUUCCUUAAUUUCUCUUCUCCCCGAGUCUUCGCCGCCAAACCACUACUGCCUUCCUCUCGGUUGACUCCACAACGAAGGUACACAUUUCC